rnacentral:lncRNA from 1 species
GGGACUUCCGGCAUUGCCCGCGAGGCGGAUAUUUUAACUGUUCCCGGCUCCGCAGCGCUGUGUCGCAACCGACGUGACUGGAGGGAAAGUGUUGUGCCCACUGCACAGAGCCGGGUCUGAGGCUCGGUAGUGUCGCUGCCUGGUGUCACCCGCCGCGGGGCCUGGGCCGUUGGCCACGGAGUUCCGGUCCCCACCCGUGUGGGAGGCUCCCCAUCCGGGGGGGAGGCGGCUGCACUGUGGGACCCGGGACCCGGCGCAGUGCCCAUCAUAGACUGGACUCAGUCUGAGAUCCUUAUCCUGGAUUUCCACAAGAGGGAAGCUGGCUGGCCCAGGGGUAGGGGGUGCCCAGAGCCCCCACAGCAGAGGCCCUUGGUGAGGAACUAUUUUCUAAGAAGAAAGCGAUGAAACUUCUGUACCAUAUAACAGCAGCUGAAUGCACAGCAGUGAAUCCAGCAAGCCACAAAGGGGUCCAUUAUUCUAUAUGAUGGGUUGAAUUGUACCCCCCCACCAAAAUAUAUGUUGGGAGUCUUAGCCCCUGGUAGCUUACUAUGUGAAGCUUAUUUGCAGACAGAGCACUUACAGAGGCAAUAAAGUAAAGUCAUUAGAGUGGACCGUAAUCCA